GUGACAAAACUCCCAAACCAUUAACCAGUAGUAGCAGAAAAUUAAUGAAGGAUUUCUCUUAAGUCUCUGACUUCUGUCAAGUGUCGUGCUUUUUUUACAAGAUGUUCUCAACAGCUAUGAGGUUCACUGAUGUCUCAGAAAUGGCACUGUGCUUAAGUGUCUUGGACAAAUGUUUGCUGACCUUAGGCGAAAGGGCUGGUUGGCCUGCAGGAAAUACAGUGAGGUUCCCAGUCCAACCCAGUCCGUGUCUGGAAUACAGGGUUGCCUUUGUCAUGGGAAGUGCGUUUGUCU